rnacentral:rRNA from 1 species
CGUAGGAGGCAAGCGUUAUCCGGAUUCACUGGGCGUAAAGCGCGUGCAGGCGGUGCGGUAAGUUGGGCGUGAAAUCUCCCGGCUCAACUGGGAGAGGUCGUCCAAUACUACCGUACUUGAGAGCAGAAGAGGAAAAUGGAAUUCCCGGUGUAGUGGUGAAAUGCGUAGAUAUCGGGAGGAACACCAGUGGCGAAGGCGAUUUUCUGGUCUGUUUCUGACGCUCAGACGCGACAGCUAGGGUAGUAAACGGGAUUAGAGACCCCGGUAAUCCUAGCCGUAAACGAUGUGAACUUGGCGUUGGUGGGUUAAACUCCAUCAGUGCCGCAGCAAACGCGAUAAGUUCACCGCCUGGGGACUACGGCCGCAAGGUUA